CCUACGGGAGGCAGCAGUGGGGAAUUUUGGACAAUGGGCGAAAGCCUGAUCCAGCAAUGCCGCGUGAGUGAAGAAGGCCUUCGGGUUGUAAAGCUCUUUUGUCAGGGAAGAAACGGUGAGGGCUAAUAUCCCUUGCUAAUGACGGUACCUGAAGAAUAAGCACCGGCUAACUACGUGCCAGCAGCCGCGGUAAUACGUAGGGUGCAAGCGUUAAUCGGAAUUACUGGGCGUAAAGCGUGCGCAGGCGGUUUUGUAAGUCUGUCGUGAAAUCCCCGGGCUCAACCUGGGAAUUGCGAUGGAGACUGCAAGGCUAGAAUCUGGCAGAGGGGGGUAGAAUUCCACGUGUAGCAGUGAAAUGCGUAGAGAUGUGGAGGAACACCGAUGGCGAAGGCAGCCCCCUGGGUCAAGAUUGACGCUCAUGCACGAAAGCGUGGGGAGCAAACAGGAUUAGAUACCCUGGUAGUCCACGCCCUAAACGAUGUCUACUAGUUGUCGGGUUUUAAUUAACUUGGUAACGCAGCUAACGCGUGAAGUAGACCGCCUGGGGAGUACGGUCGCAAGAUUAAAACUUAAAUGAAUUGACGG
rnacentral:rRNA from 1 species